UCGUGCUCUGCCCCAUUUCUGGCUGCUGCUUCCCGGAGGCAAGCCUUUAAAACACGGGUUUUUUGCCAAUGUUUGAUGGCUGGAGCAGGAUGCACAUUUGGAGGUUGCUGUGUGGGAGCUGGAUGAGCUUGGGCAGAGCUGGAGAUGUCCUGGACUCAUCCUGCACCAUAGGCAGUAUGGAAAAGGGAAAUUCUGUCCUUCUGCCCUGCUCAGCUGUCCUGCAGAAUCCCAGGGGGCUGUGAUGAGCCAGCUGCUGCACCUCUGUUCCUUCUGCCCAGGAGUGAGGACAUCAAAAGGUUUGCAAAGCCAUGGCUUGUCCUCGUUAUCCUGCACUAAUGGAUCAAUGAUUUAGAGCCUUCCCAAAGACAAUUUACAAGGGAGCUCUUUGAUUUCACACCUCUAUUUCCAUAAGGGAAAUCAAAGUGAAUUGAGUGAAAUACUGGAUGUGUUCCCUCUGUGCCUGUAGUCACCUUUGCUUUCCCACAGCAGGGAAAGUGGAAAGCAAUAAUAUUUAUUUCCAGCUAUGAAUAUUACACCCUUUUAUACAGCUGGUGAGUUAUUUUUGUGGUGCUCCUAAAUGUAUGCAGCAAAACUGCCAGAGCUGCUCAGGCCUCGGGUGCUUUAGGGAUUUUUGAGGCUAUUGCUGGAACAGUCUGUAAAUCUGGAAGCUGAUUGACUUUUCAUUUACAUCACUGAUAGCCAGGAAUGACUUCUGUGGAACCGUGGUGGCUUUGCAGGUCCAGGGUGUGAGAGGGGACACAAAGCAGGAUGCUGAUGUUAAUUUAAACCUGUAGUUAGUUAAUAAAUGAGUUAUUGCUGCAGUCUGUCCUUUCUGGGCCUCGGGGUGCAACGCUGAGAUGUGUUUGUUUCUGUUCUGAGGGAGGCCAGGGGAGCACUCGUGUUUCCCUUCAUGAGAAAUGUGCUGCUGCCAAGCUUCCCUCAGGUGUUACCCAAGAGUUAAAUUAAAUUCCCCCAAAAUUUGGCACUGCUUAGUCCCAGCUUAGCUCUAUAUCUGCACUAAAUGGGAAUUAUAUGGACACCAAAGAUCAAGUACAAGCCUAAGGCAGGAAGCAGCAGGUUCAAUAAAAUGAAAGUUAAAGAAUUACUUAUAACUUCUACAUAUUAAAUCCAUUCAAUAGCACAAUUUAUGUUGAUGUCAGUGAAAAAGAGGUUUGCCCUGUUGUCUGAUCAUGGUCUGGAACAAAUAUAACCCAGCUGAUCCUGUGACCACCAUAAAGCCUCACUGCUACUGAUGAGGGUCUAUAUUCACUUUACUGCUUUCCACAUUCUCAUUUUAAUGAAAACCUGUUACAAGUAGAGCUAAUGCUAUGAAAAUUUUGAUAGCCAGUAAAAAAUGCUUCUAAUUCACAAUGCAUAAAUAUCCCAAUGCUGGGGUUUUACAGCUAGAAAAAAAUGGUAAUUUUUGGACUGUGAUAUGGAGAAAAUAAAAGAUUUUUAUUUUUUCUCCAGCAAACGUAAUAUAAACUGUCCUGAAAGAAGCAUUUUUCAUUAAACUGUAAAAUGUUCAAGCUGACAUAUUUUACAUGCUUAGACAUAAUAUAUUUCUUUGCACUGUGCAUGUGGGUUUUUCAUUUAUUAGGAGGAAACAGGAAAAUGCUUCCUUCCAUAAAACCUGAAAGUUUUAUCGCAUCUUAUGUCAGCUCUUGGGGUUCUCAUCUGAUUUUUUUAAUGCAUCACACAGAAUUGGAGACACUUCUCUUGGAGCAAAGGAACAUUCCUUUUCAUUCCAUAGUUCCAAGAAACCCAAAUGCAGCAUUUGGCCAUGAAUGGUGUUUGAAAUUCUUGUCACAGCAUCUUUUCUAAAAGGAUGAAUGGAAACAGAGCUGCUGCCCUGCUUGAGACAGAUUUGCAAUAAAAGCAGAGAUAUUCCAUCAAUGUACAGAUACGAUCAAGAUUUGUUUCAUGGUUAUUGCAGAUGACUACACCAGGGGAAUGUUUGUUCCAUCUCAGUUAAAUAUCACAGAUUUUUGUAGUCAUUUCUUUGCAUUGACAGGCCUUGUAGGUAAAUUCAGCAUUUUCAGACAAAACACAUAAGUAGUUGUUGUACACCCACAGUGCAAAUUCUUCUUGGAAAUUUUCCUCCCAGGAGGAGAUGGGUGGACUUAUAAAAAAAAAUGUAAUAAUUUUUUGGCUUUUCUCUUUGCAUUAAAGAUAUUCUGUUGGAAAUGUUGUGGCUUCCACUCCAGCUGCUGAUCAUUUAUUUUUGCUGUCAUUUCCAUGAGGGGGCAGUGACCUCUGUGUCUGGGACUGGCUGCAUGUUCCAUGUUUGGGUGUGCACAAAAUAAGAGGAUUUUACACCUGGUGGGAAGAGGCUUUUCAUAAAUGCUCUGGUUUACAAUGUAUUGCAAUGAAUCAGAACGGAAAUAAAAUUAAAUUUAUGUGUUUGUGUUACAAAAAUGACUUCAGCCUUGGCUUAGCAGAGAGCUGUUAAAUGUCUGGUUAGCUUGGGGGUCUCUUGCAGGUGGAAGUGAAUUUCAGGGAGAAUUAAGCCAAAUCUGCAUUUCCUCUGACAUCUCUGCUCCUUCUGUCAGCCAAGGUGUGGCAUUCACAAACCUGGACAAAGUUUGACAAACCUGGAGGGAAGCUCUGUGUUUUUUGCUCAGUAAUCUUUCCUCUUCCUCUCACUUUCACAGAAGCAUUUUGAUUAUCUCUGGGUGUGCCUUCAGCUUUCCUUCCAGCAGGAUGACAUUUGGGAUGCCCAACGUGCUGCAUGCAGGGCUGCA